ensembl:lncRNA
CUCAUAUAUAAGCAAGGGAAGAAGGAAGUCAUCCCUUUUCCACUCUCUCUUCCUCCUGGUCUCUGCUCUGGAGUCGCCAUGUGAUCUGCCGGCAAGAGAGGGCACCAGUAGAAGGUGUCCUCUAUAAGGAACUCACGCCCGCAUUUCUGCACUCCAACGUGUGAGCAGAAGUGGAAGGGCACUCUGCCUGGAAGAAGACCAGCAUGAUCGGAACACCUGCUUUUGCCUAACCAGCCCUGCAACCUGAGGGAGAAAACCAACAGGCAAACAACCAAACAAAAACAAACUGGAAUAAAACAUGAAAAAUUGAACAGUUCCCACGUCUGAACCCCAAUCUCUUCUCCAAUCCCUGGCUUACGUUAUGCAGACUACUUCAUCAGAAAGACUUUGUGACGCACUGGACUGAAGGGCCUAUGCAAACAUUGUCCACUGCACUCCAGAUGCUGAACACCUGAGUGCGGAGACUUGUCACAUCCCAUCUGAGAGAGGAUUCAGUGUGUCACCCCGAAGCUCCAUGAAGUAUCCCCUGCAUUGAGAUCAACUCCUAACCAAGGAAGCACAGAGGGGAGGCAGGCAACCACCGAUUUCUGGAUGGAACUCAAGAAAAGCUUCCGCCUGGAUACCUGGGGUUUCUUGGAGCAAAGGACACAGCAACCUUUUCCAGAAGCCAGUGAGGCAGUGUGGGACUCUUUCAACUGAGAGAGGGCCAGAGCAGGCACUUUGAAAUUAGUAAUGUGAGUUGUGGUGAGAGCCCAUUAUUAAAAACUAAUCAGAAUUCUAAGAACUAAGGAAGGAAGGGAGGGAGGCAUCCACCAAGAUACACUUGCUACAAUCUGGGGUGGGGUACUUUCUGAGGCUUAUUAGAAGCAGGAUGUCUGAAGUAUCUUGCCAGUACUUCUGCCAGGUCAUGGGGUGCCAUCCAAAGGACCUCCCACUCUUACCCCUCUUCUCACCCCUUCCAGCACCAGAGAGAGAGAGAGAGAGAGAGAGAGAGAGAGAGAGAGAGAGAGAGAGAGGUGAAAAGAAGCUGACACUCACGGGGUGGUUAAAACACAAGUCAGAUACAGAGAAACCAACCACGAAGGCCCCACCUUUCCCAACCAUGAGCUCUUGCACAAGCAUCCAUGCUUAAGAGAAUGAAGAAGACUCGAUACAGAACCUCUUAGUUUGGGCUAAGAUCUUGAGUGGGCACUGGAGCACUAAAUCAAAACAGUGGCUGGGACUUAGAAUGACUUAAAAAGCCAGGAGUGCGUUUGCGUUGUUUUUAUUAGGGGCAUGAAAAGGUGGGCCUGCUGCAUAAAUUUUAAAGAGGUGACUGGAGAAAGCAAUAGAGGGUUGCUUUAAUUGCUUUUUCAAGCUGUGCUUUUUUUUGACCUGCAUUUUAUGGGUGUUCUUUCAUCUCUUAUAAGCAGCAAGGAGCAACGAUCUUUCAAAAUUACUUGGGCAUAAGAAAUGUUAAGCAUGUAUCAAUUGUAGGCCAUCCAUUAUCCUCCACUUAGGAUAUGAAAAUGUCCUUUGUGUUUUCCUGACUUUAGUGAGCCGCCUUGACUGUUAAUGAAAUGUGAGGAACAGCUGAC